AUUGAACGCUGGCGGCAGGCCUAACACAUGCAAGUCGAACGAGUGGCGGACGGGUGAGUAAUGUCUGGGAAACUGCCUGAUGGAGGGGGAUAACUACUGGAAACGGUAGCUAAUACCGCAUCCCAUCGGAUGUGCCCAGAUGGGCUUCGCUAGUAGGUGGGGUAACGGCUCACCUAGGCGACGAUCCCUAGCGGGUCUGAGAGGAUGACCAGCCACACUGGAACUGAGACACGGUCCAGACUCCGACGGGAGGCAGCAGUGGGGAAUAUUGCACAAUGGGCGCAAGCCUGAUGCAGCCAUGCCGCGUGUAUGAAGAAGGCCUUCGGGUUGUAAAGUACUUUCAGCGAGGAGGCGUUACUCGCAGAAGAAGCACCGGCUAACUCCGUGCCAGCAGCCGCGGUAAUAC
rnacentral:rRNA from 1 species